AGAACAAGACAAUUCCUAAUAUAAUUUCCCCUCUGUAUCCACAGAUUCUGCUUCCACAAGUUCAACCAACCAUGGCUCAAAAAGAGUUUGAAAAAUCCAGAAAAUAUACCUUGUUUUUUCCAUGUUAUAUAAGUGAUGCCAUUUUACUACCACAUCCUAUAAGAUUGGGAUUUGAGCCUCUAAGGAUUUUGGUAUCAAUGGGGGUCCUAGAACCAAAGCCCAGCAGAUACCAAAGGCUGACAGAAGCAGAAACCAUGAACUUCAAGGAACCUUUCUAGAGUCAUCUUUAGUCAUGAACUGGAAGGCGUACCUAAUCAUCAGAAGGGAAUCAGAGGUAGAUAUACAUUUCUCCAGAGUGCAUCUAUACAACUUUCUAUGGGCCAAAGGAACCACAAAGAAAACAACUGGCUGGUAGGUACACAUCGCAGAUCUUUCUCUGUAGCAGUACCUUCACUGGAGAACUCUUUCUUGAGGAAAGCCAGAUUGACUCCAUCUCUUUUAUGUUUUAUGGUUGUCAGGGAAGACUGCUAUUUUGAUUGGUCUUUGAAUCUUAAAAUGAGGAGUGUCUGAAAUGGUUUUUACGACUUUUGAAAAUAACUGUCCUAAGCCAUUUCACAAGAGAAGUCUCUCAAGUUUUAAAACUGUUUUUGUUACUUAUUUCAUGUAUUUCCCUAUAGCAGACCUUUCCAAACUAUUUCACAAUUGUUAGUGUGCCACCUGCAGUGUGUAGGUGUGUCACACAAAUGUAACGAGAAACCUCUGAGUCUGUGAAAUAAGUAAUAAAUCAUAUAUUUGAAAUAUACAUGAAAGGUUUACAAGAGGUGUCCCCAUACAUGUUGUUACUACAAUUUAGGUAUGUGUUUGUAUCUCUUAGCCAUCUUGGGCUGCUGCUGCAUUUCCUCACACAAGCAUUCAAAAAAGCCAGAGCAUCAUGGCAGAGGAGGUCAGUACGCUUGUGCAAAAAUAAAUAAAUAGUGAGUUUCGGAAAUUGUAAGAAAAUCGGAACUUUUGUAAGUCAGAAGCCAUAUUCAAAGCAUUUGCAUGACCCACAUCAUAUAUUUUAGAAUCUAAACGUACCCCAUACUUUUUCGUUUUAGUUUUAUAAAUCUCGGAAGGCUCCCAAAGUAAGUUUCAUAUUCAAUGCAAGGGAAGGAAGCAAAGCCAAAAAGGCUGCCUUAGUACCUUGCCAUUCCUCUGUGAAAUUAAUGUCCUCUCAGCAUUAGCAGCAGGCAAAAGAGGGAGCAGUACAUUUUAGGAACAGCACUGAACUCUGGGAAAUGUAGUUCAGGAAGGGAGGAGCCGUAUGCCAGAGAAUUCAGAAAGGCCUGCCUUAAACUACAUUUCCCAGACUUUCAUCAGCAUCUGAAAGCACCAAUCAGGAUAGAGGAGAGAGAGGUCUGCCCCUCCCUAAAGCUUCAAAAAUUCAUCAAAAAUCUGUGGAUAAGUGAAACAUUCUGAAAUUCGAUGGGCUAACAGUGGUAAAUAUUAGCCCACAGUGGUAAAUAUUAGCCCACAUUGUAGCAAGUUUCACCCCAAUCGCUUUAAAAAUGAGGGAGAUAGGAGCCCCUGAAGUUUCCCCAGUAACAGUCAUUUAAUUAUGUGCAUGCAUAGUUUGGGAAGUGAGGAGCCAUAUGCUGCCCUAAACUACAUUUCCCAGACUGCCUCAGCUUCAAAAAGCACCAAUCAGGAUAGCGGAGAGAGAUCUGUCCCUCCCUAAUAGCAGCCAGAAUCUGCAAAGAGGAGGACUGACUGAUACAUCUCUCUCUAAUAAGUAAGCCAAUCUCUGAACUGGGCUGGAAAAGAAAAUAGUGACUUACAUGGAUGGCCCUUGGGGGUCCCCUCCAACUCAAUUGGGGAAGCAUAUUAAUUGGAUGUCAGGAGAGUUUGGAUGGUGCCAUUCUGCCCGGAAGAAAGAUGUCAGUCUAGAUCAGGCAUGGGCAAACUUGGGCCCUCCAGGUGUUUUGGACUUCAACUCCCACAAUUCCUAACAGCCAAUAUGGAGUCCAAAAACACCUGGAGAAUCCAAGUUUGCCUCUGCCUAGUCUAGAUUACCCUUUAUGGUGUCUGUACUAUGAUUUUUGUUUCUGGGUUAUAAAUGGCAGUUCCUAAUUGGUUAUUUCAUAAAAACAUGGGGAAAGUUUAUUACACGGUAAAAACUUUGCCUUUGCGCAAGGGACAUUGUCUUAUAUAGAGCAACACAUUUUGCUUUGUUGAGUCUCCACCAAUUUAGCAAUAGUUUCUGCCACCAAAGCAAAGUUUCUGGAGUAGAACAACUACUUUCAAAGUAAGGACUACACAAUUAAACAGGAAAUAACACUUUAAAACAAGGAACAGAUUUUCUUUAUUAUUAAAAAUGUUGUUUAUAAAAACUUCAAAAAUUCGCCAAAAAUCCAUGGAUAAGUGAAACAUUCUGAAAUUCGGUGAGCUAACAAUGGUAAAUGUGUUCUACCAUUGUAGCAAGUUUCACCCCAAUAGCUUUAAAAAUGAGGGAGAUAGGAGCCCCUAAAGGUUCCCCAAUUAUACUACUUAUGUGCAUGCACAAUUACUAUACUAAAAUUUCGUUACUGUCGUUAUAGUAAUGAGAUUUUUCUAAGUAUACUUUAGAAACACUUUAGAGAUGAAGCGCCAGAGCCCCCCAGUUUUAUAUUGACUUUUGAGCCAUUUUUAAUGGAUCACAUAUCCCUAGAAGUCAGUGCUUCUUGGAGCCUAAAAGCUUUUGCCUUUUAUCAUUCUUCUGAGAAGGGGGUUCCUUUUUAAAAUAAGAAGGUACAGUAUUCACAUUGAUCCAUAGAUAAGUCAACCCAGCUUUUUAAAGCUGGUUUUCAAUUAAAAUAUCUUGGCUUAUACUUGAAUAUAUAGAGUGAAUGCUUUAAAUAAAUCAGUAAAUGUUUAAACCAGGUUGUACUGUAAGUCUACACUUACAUAUAUAUGUGUGUAGUCUCUGCAUACACAUACCGGCAUACUUAGUAUUUCAAGCUUCUAUUCACUAUUUUUAGUAAAAGGGUCCAUAAGGUCAUAUUUUCCCCCCUUUUCAUCUUUUAAGCCUCAGCCUGGCCUACUCUGUGUUCUUCUGUGUUAUAACAGGUGGUUCUUGUCUGCCUGGAAUCUUCUUUGGCUUUUGGCCAGCUUGGAAAGGAGCCUAACCCCUUUCUUGCCAAUGUUUCCCCUCCUAUGUAAUAGCAUAUGUUGAUUCUGUGUGUGUGUGAGUGUGCAUGCACAGUCAUACACAUUUAUGCACCUACCCUUCUUAGCCCCCACUUAAAGAAGCAAGUGUUGGCCUGGGCAUCUUGAGGCUUUCUAUGAAGAAAAUAUAGUGCUUUCAAAGGUAUGCAGUAUACCUAACUUAAUAAAGUAGAUGUAUUCUUGGGCAUUACUUCAUUAAGAGAAAAUGUAGUACUUGAAGCUGAAGCAGCAUACAAAAGAACAGCCUGGGGUUCCUUUAUGAUAAAAAAAGAGCAGUUCAACAUGUUUAAACAAAUGUCUUAUCAAAACGAAACAUAUGUAUCUAUGAAAUAAAACAACCAGGUCAAGGUAAAUUUUGCAUAAACAAAUUAGAAACAACCUGAAAGUUUCUUCCAAAAUGCACCAAGGCAUCAUAGUUAUUUCACUAGCUCCACUUUUCUUACCAUAUUUUAGUAGCUAAAAUAGCUCCAUGAUUGAUUUUUUUUGUCUUAUAACACAUUGGGAAAACUGGUAAAAUACACUAUUUGCGUUCUCCUUUUUUGUUUUUGUUUUAUUGUCAUACUUGUUCAGCAAAUGAUUUUGAAGAC
rnacentral:lncRNA from 1 species